rnacentral:rRNA from 1 species
UACGGGGGGGGCAAGCGUUGUUCGGAAUUACUGGGCGUAAAGAGCUCGUAGGCGGUUCGGCAAGUCAGCUGUGAAAUCUCCACGCUCAACGUGGAGGGGUCAGCUGAUACUGCUGUGACUCGAGUCCGGUAGGGGAGUGUGGAAUUCCAGGUGUAGCGGUGAAAUGCGCAGAUAUCUGGAGGAACACCGGUGGCGAAAGCGCGAGACUGGGCCAUAACUGACGCUGAGGAACGAAAGCCAGGGGAGCGAAAGGG